rnacentral:rRNA from 1 species
AACAGAUGCUAAUACCGGAUAACAACAGAUGAUGCCUAUCAACUGUUUAAAAGAUGGUUCUGCUAUCACUCUUGGAUGGACCUGCGGUGCAUUAGCUAGUUGGUAGGGUAACGGCCUACCAAGGCGAUGAUGCAUAGCCGAGUUGAGAGACUGAUCGGCCACAUUGGGACUGAGACACGGCCCAAACUCCUACGGGAGGCAGCAG